GAAGCCAGGCCAAGAAGAAUCCCAGGACUGGAAGGCCUUGUGGGACGUCCCAGGUUUGUCUUGUGUCAAUAGCACUGAUACUCAAUCUCCUACUCCCAUCUGUGAGCAUGCAGACCCUACUUGCCUUCCCACAGCCUCCCUUUUCAUAUUUUUCAUGUUUCUUUAGCUCUGUCUUCAAGCCUUGUUGCUCCCGCAAAAAAACCUGCCUCUUCCUCCAGUCCUCCCAAGCAGGGGGAACAGUCCUGACACCUUUCCAAGCCCUGGUCCAUGGACAUUGUGCCCCCUUCUCCCUGCCCAUGGUGACCUGCUCCAAAACCCUCAAGGAGAAGGGAGUGUAUGUCAUUUCCUCCCUGUAAAGUAAAGAUAAUUUUGCAGGGGACUGUGUGGAUGAAAUGACAUGAUGCAUGGAAAUCCCUUAGCGUGUGCCUGGCAUGUAAACUGCAGGUGUCAUCAUUAUUACUGAGGAAUACUGAGUCCCGAACAUGGCUGUCUCAUUGGUGGACUGGGGUCUCCCCCAGGGCAUUCAUCUACUAUGUGUUUAUUGCACCCUUUUUCCAUGUGAGGCACAUGCCAGGGACUGGGCACAUGGUAUGAACAAGACACAGGUCAUCGGUGUCCUCUUGAGCUCCCUGGCUUGGCAGCAGAUGCAUACCUGGGAAGGAUGCUAGGUCAUCCGGGAACUCUACCUCCUUCAAAUCCCUAAGGACUGUGCUCCCAAUCCGCUUACGCUCAAGGAAGAACUGGUCAGCCCUAGGUGCAGCUGCAACCUGAGGGACUUGUCCUGGGAUCAGACAUUUUGAGGACUUUCUUGACCCUUGGCUGAUAUCCUUGCAGGCAGGACCUGCAGCUAAGCAAGACGUAGGACUGCAAGCUGGGUUGGCACCCUCCCCCUAGGGAGUUCUCCAGGCCUUGCCCCCUCUGUCCCCAGCCUGGAAGCCCUCCCUGGUACCAUACCCCAGCCGAUGAGAAGGCCCAGAACCAGCCUGCUGUCAGGAUCAGAACAAAAGAGGAGGACUGCAUAUGUAUGGACCCACUCCAGAUGGCACGGGGACGGGGGGAGUAGGAAAAGUGGCAUGAUGAGGAAAUGGAGGCACAGACUGAUUAGAAAACCAGCUCAAGGUCAUGUUGCUGCUCUCUCAUUCCUGUUGAGGGCUCUCUGGUGGAGCCUCUGUCUCACAGGUCACCUGCAGGCCAACACUCCCAGAAGCAGCUAGCACCAUGGUUGACCUCGUCCAGGUCCAGGGAAGGCCUCCCUCUCCAGGACUCCUUUAGAUUUCCCCAGCAUCCAGACCUCACCUGCCUAAGUGCUGUUGCCCUGGAAGCCACAGUGAGCACGAGCUCCAUCUUGCACCUUUACCAGCCAAUGGGGGUAAAGACAUUAGCUGGCCAUGUUCAAUCCCCUCAAGGGAAGCCUGAGACCACAGCUACUGCCUCGAAUCAGAAGCCCCAGCCUCAUCAUCUGGGGCCAGAGAACUAGGGCAGGAGGAGCCAAGUAGCACAGCAGGAAGCAUGAGUCCCUCCGAGGAGAAGCUGGUCUCUGAGAGGAGCACAGAAUGCAGCAGGCUGGAUAAGCCCCCUGCUGAAAUCAUGGGGUAAAAAAGAGACACAGGGGGAAUGGAGGAGCCAGAGAGAAAGCAGUGUGAUCACAGGCACACAGGACAGCAGCUCACCUUCCCAUCCUUGCUGGCUUUUGCACCCAACAGCCCAAAGCCUCCCCGCUGCAAAUUCUUUUUUUUUUUUUUUUUUGCCAGCCUCACUUCCUCUUGGGGAAGGCUGAGCUCUGGUAGAAGAAGAGAAUGAGAACUGCUGUAAAUACUUCUAAGGGGCCAGGCGUGGUGACUCAUGCUUGUAAUUCCAAGCACUUUGGGAGGCUGAGGCAGGUGGAUCACCUGAAGCCAGGAGUUCAAGAGCAGCCUGGCCAACAUGGCGAAACCCUGUCUCUACUAAAAAUACAAAAUUUAGCCAGGCAUGGUGGCGGGAGCCUGUAAUCUCAGCUCCUAGGGAGGCUGAGCCAGAAGAAUCGCUUAAACCUGGAAGCUGGAGGUUGCAGUGAGCCAAGAUCACACCACCACACUCCAGCCUGGGUGACAGAGCAAGACUCCAUCUCAAAAAGAAAAAAAAGAAAAAAAGGAAAUACUUCUAAGUUAUGUGAGAGAGUACAUACUGACAUUUUCAAUGGGUACAAUAA
rnacentral:lncRNA from 1 species